rnacentral:lncRNA from 1 species
GAAUUUGCAAUCCAGUUCCUUUAUAUAUAUAUAUGCAAAAUUUGAUUGAAACAAAUUUGGCUAAAUGAAACCCUGACAAAGAGAUGCGCCACAAGGUAGACGGCAAAGACCAACUCCUCUCUUUUACAUCUCAAUAAUAAUCAACGAAAAGCGAAAGAAAGACAAAACGUUUGCAUAUAUGGAUUCAGAAAGUAGUAGAAAGGAGGAAAAGGCAUAGACUUGGAUGAUCAUUGAGCUUUGAGGACUAUUUUACAAUUUUAAAAUUUUC